rnacentral:rRNA from 1 species
AGCGAACGCUGGCGGCAGGCCUAACACAUGCAAGUCGAACGAACCUUUCGGGGUUAGUGGCGGACGGGUGCGUAACGCGUGGGAACGUGCCUUUAGGUUCGGAAUAACUCAGGGAAACUUGUGCUAAUACCGAAUGUGGCCUUCGGGGGAAAGAUUUAUCGCCUUUAGAGCGGCCCGCGUCUGAUUAGCUAGUUGGUUGAGGUAAUGGCUCACCAAGGCGACGAUCAGUAGCUGGUCUGAGAGGAUGAUCAGCCACAUUGGGACUGAGACACGGCCCAAACUCCUACGGGAGGCAGCAGUGGGGAAUCUUGCGCAAUGGGCGAAAGCCUGACGCAGCCAUGCCGCGUGAAUGAUGAAGGUCUUAGGAUUGUAAAAUUCUUUUACCGGGGACGAUAAUGACGGUACCCGGAGAAUAAGCCCCGGCUAACUUCGUG